ACUGAAGAACUGAGCUAAUUGGUUCAAAAGACUUUAUCCAACAGUGACUAUUGUUGUGCUACUAUCAUGGACCAGCUUCAGAGGUAAAUCAGAGGAAUCCCAUGUUCAGUGCCUCCAUGGACUUGAGAGUUCAAGAUUGGAAAACUGAUGCUUCAAGGAUGUCAAUGUUGGGUAUUGCCAGGCACUGUUUGCAGCAUCUUCCCAAUGACAGUAAUGAGCAAAUAUUUCUUAAGCAACUUCAUCCAAAGCGGUCCAUGUCUUCUUCUAGUGUACACCUUCAAUCUAAUUUGGUUUGUCUUCAAACCCAAGUGGAAGCCCAGGACAACCUUGAACAUAUUAUGUAUUAGAAGACAACCUUGGAUUUUCUGCCACAAUCUUCCAAGUAUGUUCCACCAUACCUAGGUUCUGUGGGGCUGAGGAUCAGAUGGAGACCUUCAAAGCUGCCUUCCCCCUUACCAAGUGAGAUAUUUUUC
rnacentral:lncRNA from 1 species